rnacentral:lncRNA from 1 species
AUAAAAAAUUCUGAAAAUGAAGGGUAGGACCAAAAGACCUUAGAGGUGAUCAUUCAACAAUACAAUUCUGUGUUAAGCUAAUAGUAAUUAUUCUUAAUACAAUUUAGAAUAAACUUUAAUUUUGUAACAAAGGACGAGAGAAAUAAUAUUACAAUGAAAGAUAAAUUUUAUCUCCCUCCACCUCUUAAAUUACUUAUUGUUACUUAAUGGCUACAUUUGUCACCUGCAUUUAGCAAUAUUUAAGUACCAUUAUCAUAUUUAAAAUGCUAAUUUUAAUUAGAAAUGUAAACAAUUUAAAUUUAAUUUUCAAAAGAAUUCAUAUCCAAUUAUGUUUAUUAUGUUUCUUUCAUCUAUCAGUCUUUAUUCUCAACAUGGGAAUUCUCUAACAGCUAUCCAAAUUAAAGAAGCAAUAGAGACAAUGUACAGAAAAUAGGCAGAGCAGCCAGGCCUCCCCUGCCUCCCUCACAAAAAAAAUUUUGAAUUAUCUGUUUGAGCCACCAUAACUCAUCAGCAUAGAUACACUAUUGUAGAACAAUCAUUCCUGUUCCAACCAGUGAGCACACAAUAUCUGUGAUAAUAAUUAUAGACAUAAUGUAAUAUAUCACAUCACAAAUUCCUGAAAUAAAACUAAUUCUAUAGAUUAGGAACUUAGAGAUUUAUUCUGCACUUAGUCACAUAAUGGAUGUUAAAAUUAACGAGAAACUCAGAUUGAGGCAAACAUGACAAGCAUGCUUUACUCAAACAUCAUACAGCACAGCAACAGUUCAAACCUUGUUUCUUAAAAAAAGAGAAAGAGAGAAAUAGAAAAAUGUUUUUAUGUCCUACUGGAUUUCAGGAAGAGCUGAAAAACACUCUUAUUCAUAUAGUAAAGAGGGCUUUGUUUGGUUUUGCUCAUUAGAAUUCUGUAAUUCUGUUAGUUUCAAGUAUGGUGAGCUUGAGUAUACGCAGAAUAACAGUGACUGAAUAAAGAAAAGUAAGCCUUGGCUUACUUUAAUUGUCAUAGAUAAUGAAAUGGAAUUUUUUAUUUUCUGACUCAAUGGCACGUAACAUAAAACCCCAAAAUAUUAAUUUCUCUGAUUCUGGAUAAAGAAUUUAUUGUAUUGCACAUAGUUGAGUUUAGACAAUUAAUAGCUGCUACCACAACAUGUAAUUUUUUAAACUAUGCCUUUCAAGUUUCAGCACAUUUGAAUUUCAUUUACUAUCCUUUUUAUGGCUAAUAAUACCAUGGCUUGAAGUAAAAUAUUUGCAAAUAGUUCAACAUAGUAGUGAGUAAGGGUAUUUUAACUGUAUUCACAUUCACUCCCUUUACAGAUAUUUUGUGAGUUCAAGUGAAGGGAAAGGUAACGCGAAUUAUGUAUUGUAGAUUAAAUGCGAAGUUAAGUGAUCACCAUUAAUAUGUAAAAUUAUCAAUGGUUUUAUGGUUUACUUAAAAUAAUAAAUACCUGAAUAUGUAUUCUGCAUGCUAUAGAUGAGUUUCUCCAGUAUUUUUACAGCCAGCAGACACUUGAGUCCUGUCUUCUAAUGCUUAUAUGCUAGAACAGAAAGGAAUUAAGGUGUAAGUCUAUUUCAUGUGAUGCAAGUGAAGUCACCAAAUAAAAUCAUAAAACUGCCUUUUGCUAAGGCAAUAAAACUACUAAUAACAGGCCUGUUCUACAUAGCUAAGAGGUUUAAUAAAAAAUCGAAUUCCUUGUUUAAAAUUACAUGUCUUUCAUCCUGUCAUCCAGGAUACUGUUUAAAGAGUCUCUGUUAUGCACUGCUUUGUUUCUUGCUCAGUGGUUCUGUAUAGGUUUUCUUAUACAAUAAAAUACAAUGAACUUUU